rnacentral:rRNA from 1 species
CGAGUGAGCGGCAAAGCUCAAAUUUGAAAUCUAGCACUUUCAGUGUUCGAGUUGUAAUUUGAAGAAGGUAACUUUGGUUUUGGCUCUUGUCUAUGUUCCUUGGAACAGGACGUCACAGAGGGUGAGAAUCCCGUGCGAUGAGAUGCCCAAUUCCAUGUAAAGUGCUUUCGAAGAGUCGAGUUGUUUGGGAAUGGCAGCUCUAAGUGGGUGGUAAAUUCCAUCUAAAGCUAAAUAUUGGCGAGAGACCGAUAGCGAACAAGUACAGUGAUGGAAAGAUGAAAAGAACUUUGAAAAGAGAGUGAAAAAGUACGUGAAAUUGUUGAAAGGGAAGGGCUUGAGAUCAGACUUGGUAUUUUGCGUUCCCUUCCUUUUUGGUUGGGUUCCUCGCAGUUUACUGGGCCAGCAUCGGUUUGGAUGGUAGGAUAAUGACAUUGGAAUGUAGCUUUACUUCGGUGAAGUGUUAUAGACUUUGUUGAUACUGCCUAUCUAGACCGAGGACUGCGUCUUUGACUAGGAUGCUGGCGUAUUGAUCUUA